UAUUAAUGUAAAGUAGUGAUCAGGUCUAGCUGAAAAAGGUCAAAAAUUAGCACUUCGGAAGCUGUCAAAAGAUUUCAAGACCCCCUUAACAUAAAAUUGUCCAUAUUUUGAGUAGAGCUGAUGAAGUUUUCUAUAAUUUUGAUAUCAUUUGUCCCAAAAGUAGUACAACACACUGUAAAAAUAUUAUUGAGAAAGCGCAGGUGGAAUUUUUUUAAUUUUCAUUUAUUGUCUAAAAGAAAUGCACUACGAAAUAACUGUGUACUCGGACCUAGAGGUGAAA
rnacentral:lncRNA from 1 species